rnacentral:lncRNA from 1 species
CUAAAGACUUAAAAAGGUUACGGUCCAUGGUAAGUGAUUGAUCUCGUCAUUAAAGGAGGGAGGAUAACAUCCACCAUUCUUUUUCUUAUUCUUUGUUAGACAAAAGCUAAGAUGCAAUUGGUAUUUAGCUUUUCUUCCUGCAGGCUGCUGCUGCUUCUUUUUCUUUGUUCUUAGGUAAAAUAGCAUAGACGUGGAGAGAUUGGGUCUGAUGCAGCAGACCAUUUAUCCAUUCAUUACACCUUGUCUGGAUAGGACACAGGAUAUAUCUUGUUGUCAAUGGAGGAAAGAAUGUCCCAGAUUCCAUGCCUAGGAGGCUAAUGGUCGGUGGAAUUCCCACCCCCACCCCCUACCAUUCCUGGUGGAUAUGAAUGUAGUCACUUCUUGAUUAUGGCAUGUUGAGUCUGUCAGAUUUCUAAUUGCACUUUAUGCGGCAGAAGGAAUUUUCUCACCAAUCUGUCUGGUCUGUCGAGAUAUAGAUUGAUCAUUUUCGAUGAAAGGGAGAACUUUUUAAUACAUGAAGUUAAAUCUCUCUGUACCAUUGCUCUAGCAUACUAAUAUGUAUACUUCAAAUACUAAAACUCAGUAUUUAUCUAGUUCAUUGCUUAUGGAGUAUGUUACGCAAAGGUGAAAUGUGUUGUUAAUUCCUUUUUAUCUUGAAACAAGACAUUUCCAUUCUCUCUUUACUUUAAAAAAUACAUCCAGAAGCAUUGGUGACGCAUGGUUCAGGGAAAUAAUAUUCUUGAAGCAGCAUUCGGAGAGAAGUGUCAGGGGAUGGUUGUCAUGAAGAUAAAGCUGGUGAAUGUCGGAUAACAAAAUGGGAGCGAAAGAGUGGUGAAUGUUUGGGGGUACUGAUUCCAGAGUGCCCUUCCUUUAGAGAGCAUGCAUGCAUAAGCACUUGAGCAGUAGCAGUGGCAGCUGUAGAAGCAGAAGAUUCACAAACAUAUACCUGAGGUCCCAUCAGAAAGCUACCCUUCCUUCUCUGUCCAUCAAACUUUGCCUUUUUUCUCUCUUGCACACUUCGCUACAGUUUUUAAGUGCAUCUUCACCACUUCAGAGGCUUCUUCAAUGUGUGGCUGCCUUUUGGUCUCAUCCCCUUUCUUUUUCUGCUUUUGUUUCUCCUUUCUGUUAGUGGUCAUGCCAUGUGCCUGCAUGCUUUCAUUUCUCUGGCUAAGACAGUGAAAUGCAGUAUUCUCCAAUCAUCUCACUCCUUUUUUAAGCUGAAUUCAAAAGCGCUUAUGAUAUAGUAGUACGAGUAUAUGCCUUUGUGGAAUUUCGAAAUAAUUUGGUUGAAGAACUAAUUUCACAAGUGAGAAAAUUUUUGCAUGUGAAAAAAGUGACAUUCAGAAUUCUUUUGGCCGUAAUGGAAAGAGAUAAACUCAACCUUGACUUACUUCGCUGGUGGUUAUAUGACUCAAUUCUGAUCACUGAAUCUUCCACUGAAUUUAUUGCUUUGGGGUUGAGCUGUGUCAACCCAUUUUGCAUAUGUCUUGGGGUGUUUGUAGUUUGUACCAAUACAAAUUGCAGUAGAAUCUUGGAACCAUGGACCCCCUGUCCCUCUUCAUCGAAGUGUGUGGCCUGGCCUUGUCCUUAAGCAUGGGCUAGUAGGAGACUCACAUGGAGGAUGGGCUUAAUCACAAAGGCACACAAGAUCUCUACAGACGGUGACGCAUUCACAAC